rnacentral:sRNA from 1 species
GCUGGGCUCAGUGGCACAUGCCUGUAAUCCCAGCAACUCGGGAGGCUGAGGCAGGAGGAUUGCAAGUUCAAGGCCAGCCUCAGCAAUUAAUCAAGAUCCUGCCUCAA